AAACGACUCUCGGCAACGGAUAUCUCGGCUCUUGCAUCGAUGAAGAACGUAGCGAAAUGCGAUACUUGGUGUGAAUUGCAGAAUCCCGUGAACCAUCGAGUCUUUGAACGCAAGUUGCGCCCGAAGCCAUUAGGCCAAGGGCACGCCUGCCUGGGCGUCACA
rnacentral:rRNA from 7 species